UUCAGUGGUCCUGUGAUAGACUAGAUACUUCAGUGGUCCUGUGAUAGACUAGAUACUUCAGUGGUCUUGGAUAGACUAGAUACUUUAGUGGUCCUGUGAUAGACUAGAUACUUCAGUGGUCUUGGAUAGACUAGAUACUUUAGUGGUCCUGUGAUAGACUAGGUACUUCAGUGGUCCUGUGAUAGUCUAGAUACUUCAGUGGUCCUGUGAUAGACUAGAUACUUCAGUGGUCCUGUGAUAGACUAGAUACUUCAGUGGUCCUGUGAUAGUCUAGAUACUUCAGUGGUCCUGUGAUAGACUAGAUACUUCAGUGGUCCUGUGAUAGACUAGAUACUUCAGUGGUCUUGGAUAGACUAGAUACUUCAGUGGUCCUGUGAUAGACUAGAUACUUCAGUGGUCCUGUGAUAGACUAG